rnacentral:rRNA from 1 species
GAUCCUGGCUCAGGAUGAACGCUAGCUACAGGCUUAACACAUGCAAGUCGAGGGGCAGCAUGAACUUAGCUUGCUAAGUUUGAUGGCGACCGGCGCACGGGUGAGUAACACGUAUCCAACCUGCCGAUGACCCGGGGAUAGCCUUUCGAAAGAAAGAUUAAUACCCGAUGGCAUAGUUCUUCCGCAUGGUGGAACUAUUAAAGAAUUUCGGUCAUCGAUGGGGAUGCGUUCCAUUAGGUUGG